GCAGAAGUACUCAAGUGGUCGAAGAGGCUUCCCUGCUAAGGAAGUAGGACGGGUAACUGUCGCGAGGGUCCGAAUCCCUCCUUCUGCGCCA
rnacentral:tRNA from 1 species